rnacentral:lncRNA from 1 species
AAAACAUGGCUACUCAGCCUUUGAAAUACAGAGCUGAGGAUGAGAGCAACUAGAUGAGCUAGAAUUGGGUUUGUAUCAUUCUAAAUUAUUCGUUUGGUUACCGAUAGAAAAUAUGGUUGCCAAGUCCAGUUUUUUAUUUUCAUCAUCUUAAACAUUUUCCCUUAAUAGCACUUUGUUUUGAUUUGUGAACGAACUAUAUACUUUUUAUUUAUCUUAGGUCACAGUGUAAUGUUUAACGAUUGAAUUUGUGAGACGGUGUAGCAGUUUUUUUCAGAAACUUGCUAUUCCUGCCAGAUACUCAAAUAUUAUGUCUUCUACUUUUCUGCUUUCCCUUUUCCGUAUUUUUCCCCAUAUAGUAGGCUUAGCACUUGAAACUAUGAGUAUAAUACUGAUGGCACAAUACAAUCGACAAAUGAAUGCUUUCUUAUAGCAUGCAUAUCCGUAUAUAGCAAGCAAAGUUUUACUUCAUUGGUUCUUAGG